rnacentral:rRNA from 1 species
GAUGAACGCUGGCGGCGUGCCUAAUACAUGCAAGUCGAGCGAACGGACGAGAAGCUUGCUUCUCUGAUGUUAGCGGCGGACGGGUGAGUAACACGUGGAUAACCUACCUAUAAGACUGGGAUAACUUCGGGAAACCGGAGCUAAUACCGGAUAAUAUUUUGAACCGCAUGGUUCAAAAGUAAAAGACGGUCUUGCUGUCACUUAUAGAUGGAUCCGCGCUGCAUUAGCUAGUUGGUAAGGUAACGGCUUACCAAGGCAACGAUGCAUAGCCGACCUGAGAGGGUGAUCGGCCACACUGGAACUGAGACACGGUCCAGACUCCUACGGGAGGCAGCAGUAGGGAAUCUUCCGCAAUGGGCGAAAGCCUGACGGAGCAACGCCGCGUGAGUGAUGAAGGUCUUCGGAUCGUAAAACUCUGUUAUUAGGGAAGAAUAUAUGUGUAAGUAACUGUGCACAUCUUGACGGUACCUAAUCAGAAAGCCACGGCUAACUACGUGCCAGCAGCCGCGGUAAUACGUAGGUGGCAAGCGUUAUCCGGAAUUAUUGGGCGUAAAGCGCGCGUAGGCGGUUUUUUAAGUCUGAUGUGAAAGCCCACGGCUCAACCGUGGAGGGUCAUUGGAAACUGGAAAACUUGAGUGCAGAAGAGGAAAGUGGAAUUCCAUGUGUAGCGGUGAAAUGCGCAGAGAUAUGGAGGAACACCAGUGGCGAAGGCGACUUUCUGGUCUGCAACUGACGCUGAUGUGCGAAAGCGUGGGGAUCAAACAGGAUUAGAUACCCUGGUAGUCCACGCCGUAAACGAUGAGUGCUAAGUGUUAGGGGGUUUCCGCCCCUUAGUGCUGCAGCUAACGCAUUAAGCACUCCGCCUGGGGAGUACGACCGCAAGGUUGAAACUCAAAGGAAUUGACGGGGACCCGCACAAGCGGUGGAGCAUGUGGUUUAAUUCGAAGCAACGCGAAGAACCUUACCAAAUCUUGACAUCCUUUGACAACUCUAGAGAUAGAGCCUUCCCCUUCGGGGGACAAAGUGACAGGUGGUGCAUGGUUGUCGUCAGCUCGUGUCGUGAGAUGUUGGGUUAAGUCCCGCAACGAGCGCAACCCUUAAGCUUAGUUGCCAUCAUUAAGUUGGGCACUCUAAGUUGACUGCCGGUGACAAACCGGAGGAAGGUGGGGAUGACGUCAAAUCAUCAUGCCCCUUAUGAUUUGGGCUACACACGUGCUACAAUGGACAAUACAAAGGGCAGCGAAACCGCGAGGUCAAGCAAAUCCCAUAAAGUUGUUCUCAGUUCGGAUUGUAGUCUGCAACUCGACUACAUGAAGCUGGAAUCGCUAGUAAUCGUAGAUCAGCAUGCUACGGUGAAUACGUUCCCGGGUCU